rnacentral:rRNA from 1 species
GUACGGGAGGCAGCAGUAAGGAAUAUUGGUCAAUGGGCGAAAGCCUGAACCAGCCAUCCAGCGUGCAGGAAGAAGGCCCUAUGGGUUGUAAACUGCUUUUAUCAGGGAAGAAACCUCUGGAUUCACUCCGGAGCUGACGGUACCUGAAGAAUAAGCACCGGCUAACUCCGUGCCAGCAGCCGCGGUAAUACGGAGGGUGCGAGCGUUAUCCGGAAUUACUGGGUUUAAAGGGUGCGUAGGCGGCUUUGUAAGUCAGGAGUGAAAGUUUGCGGCUCAACCGUAAAAUUGCUUCUGAUACUGCAUAGCUAGAAUUAGGAUGAGGUCAGCGGAAUGUGGCAUGUAGCGGUGAAAUGCAUAGAUAUGCCAUAGAACACCAAUUGCGAAGGCAGCUGGCUAGACCUGGAUUGACGCUGAGGCACGAAAGCGUGGGGAGCGAACAGGAUUAGAUACCCCGGUAGU